UAAAACUGUGCAAAGACACAGUUGCAGUGCAGCGGUUUUUUUAUGUUUACUGUGACGCAUGCGCUGGAUUAAAGUGAUGAUAGCACAAGGUUACAUUUUAGUAAUCAAAUAUUUUAAAGCCAAAAAUGUUACGUGUGUGUUUAACGUUAGGUGUGUUUAAGGCAUAGUUGGUUUACGAAGUGUUAUUUAUGCUUUGUUUUUUUUUAAUCCCCAGAUAACCAUGGUUGAUAAAUGGUCAGUAGAUGACACGUGCCACUGGCUUGAAACUAUAGACCUCAUUGAUGCAAAAGAAAGUUUCAGAGAUUCUGCAUGAAAUGACAAUGAGGUUUGGAACCGACUUGGUGAAGAACAUGGAAACAUCUCUGAAUGAAAUGGCCCCAAACAUCAUCAGGAGUGCAAAAGAAGGAAGUCAAAAAAAAAAAAAAACUACGUCAAUCUCAUUGGACUAGCAGAGGAAACCACAGAAGGUCUCGUUAGGAAUGCUGCACUCAUUUUAUUGCCAGCACUAUUUAAAGAAAACGCCAGCUUCCUCUACUGUGUAGAUAGUGAACCCAAAGGUGCUACACCAACCAUAGUGUUUAACGGCUCUCCUGAUCCCCUCAAGGCUGAAAGUGUCAGCAUUAUAAUGGACAAUGUGAACAUCAUAAGAGAGGCAGACAUUGACAUGACACAGGCUGUGGAAUGCCUAUUUGCAGUCUAUUUUCUCUUCAAUGUGCAGUACCCGGUUGACAUUAAGCACACAAUGACUUUUAUUUAAAAAUAUAUGCUUAACCUUAGACAACAGCACGGCAAAAGAACACCAAUGCAUGUACUGAAAAUGUAUAGUCAACUUGUGUAAAUUGUAGAGCUAUUUAAUAGUUGUUUUAACUGUUCAUGUAUUGAUUUUUAUCUGCACUGUUAAAUAUAAAAAAUGAUUUGUUUUUCCUAAUUUCAGAGAUAUAUGUAAAAGUGAAGUACUGUAUAUGUACGUAAACAAGCUUAUGUAUGUUUAUUGCAAAGUGAAAAUGCUUAAAUGAAAUAAUUCAAACUAAAUGGUUAAAUGUAAUUAAACAUCUUAAAUAUGAAAUUUGCUGUCUAAUACAGAGUAUACAGAGGUGUAAUUUUAAAUGACACUAAAUUUUUUGUAUAAACAGUUGAAUAAAUUUAAACAUUUUAAAUUUUCUGGAUUGUUUAUAUUUUCUUAUUCAAUAAUAAUUUUAACUUGUUUAAUAAUAAAGAACUCUUAAAUGGUUCUAUAUAGAACCAUCUAACUUGGAUUCAAAGAACCAUUUGGGGUUCUUUUUAUGGAACCCAUUAAAGUGGUUCUAUAUAGAACCAUUUUGGAGUUCCAUAUAUGA